rnacentral:rRNA from 1 species
AUUGAACGCUGGCGGCAGGCCUAACACAUGCAAGUCGAACGAGUGGCGGACGGGUGAGUAAUGUCUGGGAAACGUCCUGAUGGAUGGGGAUAACUACUGGACACGGUAGCUAAUACCGUAUACCAUCAGAUGGGCCCGGAUGGGAUUAGCUUGGGGGGGGGGUAACGGCUCACCAAGGCGACGAACCCUAACUGGUCUGAGAGGAGGACCAGCCACACGGGAACUGAGAAACGGUCCAGACUCCUACGGGAGGCAGCAGUGGGGAAUAUUGGACAAUGGGCGCAAGCCUGAUGCAGUCAUGCCGCGUGUAUGAAGAAGGCCUUCGGGUUGUAAAGUACUUUCAGCGGGGAGGCGUUACCCGCAGAAGAAGCACCGGCUAACUCCGUGCCAGCAGCCGCGGUAAUAC